rnacentral:misc_RNA from 1 species
UGGCACCCGAUGCAACAAUUGCAAUACCAGUAUCUCCAGGCUUAACAAAAGAGGACAAGACAUCAAUUUCAUAUAUGGUGAUGUUAGAUAGGCGCAUAUGAACAUUACCCAGAAAUGGAAUUUUAACCGUCUUUUCAAUCCUGGGCAAAUUGAGAGGAAUUAUUGAAGAGAUUGCUUUGGUUAUGAGCAAAUUCUUAAGAAAGUCGAGACCCUGUUGGGAUAUAACGAUUGAAAUGAAAGCUUCCUGGUCUGGGGAUUGGAUAUCUUGGGUAUAGGAGGGGAUGAAGAGAGAAGUUAUGAGGAGAAAUACGAGUGCUGUUGCUGCCAUUUUUUGGGCUUCUGACCUGCAACUUUGGAAUGUAAUUUGUUUUAGAGCAUCGACAUAUAUAAAAAGGGAGAGAGAGAGAUUCGAAGCAGAAGCUUGACGGUGAUUCGGAGCUGCAGACUGCUGCAAGAG